rnacentral:sRNA from 1 species
GUGAGAGAAGCCCAGAAACACUGAAGCCAGCCCAGUCUCGCUCAUCUUCUUCUCUUCCUCAACGACGGUCAACGAAGCCCAACCACGUUCUUCGGUAUUCCUCUUCUUCUGUUCUCUUGGACGACAUUCAACGAAGGCACUAAGGUGAUGUUGUUCCUCUCCUCUUCCUGAACGUUGAUGACGAUACCAUCUAAUCAGCAACGCAUUCACCGGCGGUGAAGGCUCACGUAGUAGAUAGAAAAAAAAACAUCAAUUUCGGAUUGUUGUUCGAUAAUGUGUUGAUUUGUCGGAGGCUCUGUUCAUUUGGUGCGUGUGACAGUGAAAGUGCAGGUAUUUUUUUUUAUCAAACCUUUAUAUGAUUAGCCCUUGUUAUUAGCUUUCCUGAUCAUGGCUUCCAUCUUUGUUUCGACCUGUGGUUGAUUUAGUCUUUUUUGUGUGUACUAUUUAGUGAAGUUUUUGUUUAUUAUGUCUUUAUAGGAAACAUUAGUGCUUGACUGGUGAUUACUGUAAGUUAGAAAUGAUAUAAUGGCGCCAUCACUCAUGCUUUGGUUGCUCUAUGGUAUCAUGACAAUAACUAACAAUACAACUUCCGCUUCCACCAAACGCCCACAUUUUGAUGUAACUUCUCUAACUAUAGUACAAGCUUUCUAAUUUAAUUAGUAUUUUUAAU